rnacentral:lncRNA from 1 species
CGCGGGCGCCCCCUCGGCGAAGCGGUGGGCACCGUCCCCCGCGGGCCCGGCGUCCGGCCAGGUCCCUCGGGCCCCUGCUGCCCGCGAUCGCCACUGAGCCUCCUGUGCCAGCUGAUGGGCUUCAACCCGCCGCUGCCAGUGCGUCCCUGGCGGGAGCAGGACGGGGUCUUGGGCAGUCUUUGGCGCUCGAAUUUGUGCCUGCUUGGGAGGGGUCUGCGCACCUGGAUCCUAGUACACCUGCUGGCCCCAAGGCCCUCGAGCGGAAGGCGACGACAGGAAUCAGUUCCCUUCCUGAAGGGCCAAGUGGGGAACACCUUGAGAGCCUGCCGUCGUUCUCCGGCUCUUCCGAGGUGGGGUCUGGAGCCCGAUAUGUGGGCCCAGUAGAUGGGACCAGGCUGUGCCCAUCAUGUCACUGACCACUGACCCGUUCCUCAGCCUCCUUGGGAUUGGGUCUGACCAGGAUCUGCCUGCCCUGCGCUGGAGGCUUUUGGACAGGAGAAAAGGAAGGACCUCCAGAGGUCACCUGGAAGAGCCUUUGAAGGCCGUGCCCCUCUCCCACACAGCUCCUUUGGGGGCACGCACACACACUCCCACCAGAAAAGACACCAAGGAAGACCAUUAUUUUCUGCCACCUUCCUUUGUCCAGCUGGCUGUGGGGCAUGGACCAGGAAAUGCCUGGACUCCCUCACUCCACAAGCCAGGAGCAACCCAGGUGGGGAGCCAGAACUUUCAGGUCCCCAUUGGAGGUCCCAAGAGAGCCCUGAGCUCUCAGCCCUUUCAGGCUGAGAGGUCUCUGGGAGGGAGGGAAAGUGAGGCUCACCCACCCGAACCAGACUCCCUUCCAGAGUCAGAUGGGUUGCAGGGAAGGGGGUGCUGCGUCAACAUGAAGAUGUGGCCACAAGUGGUCUUCUGAGUUUUGAAGCCAGGAGCAAACUGAACAGGACAAGGGCGUGUGCCCAGAGUGACACCAUGCUGGGAUGGCAGUACCAAAGGCAGGGAUUUGUGUGGACUGCUUUAUUUUUCUCUGUAUGUUAUAGUUCUUAUUCCCUACAGGCAUUGAUGUCAAAAGUGUUUAUCUUUAAGGAAAUAAAGAGAAGCUAACCAAGGGACCCCAGAACCCCUGGAGCAGGGCUGCUAUCAAGUGGCCUGAGGUCAGUAGAAGGCAGGGUCUUAUUCAGUCCUUUGCAGAGACUGACUUUCCUAUAGACCCUGGGCACAAGGCCACACUGGUUAGUGACCAUCUUGUCCCCAGGGUCUCCUAAAAGGUCUGAAUGCCUGGGCGUCAGCGGUCAAGGAGGGCCGGUUGGAGAACCCCAUCCAGCCUGCAGCCUGUGCCAAGAGCUCCUCAGGGUCAUCUUGUGCGUCCCUCUUGCUCGGACCUUGUGGUGCUCUGUUCAGUGCAGCUCCCAUCACCCCAACUCCACCACCUUUUGGGGGAGGUACCCCAGGAGAAGGAGCAGGCUGGGACCCCUGGGCUGCCUGGCUUUCUGGUUUUCAUUCAGUUCCCACUUUUAUUUUUCUACUUUACCCGUUUAAUUAUGGAGUUAAACCAGGUGCUGCGGGACUCCCCCUCUGUCAGCCACAUUACAGCACGGGAGGUGACUGUCUCUUCUAGAGUCUGUGACUCUGAAUUCCAUCAAGGAUGGUAACAACAGGCUUGUUAAAGCUGUUCCUUCUUCCACCCGAGGAAGGGGCUCACCUGGACAAAGACAUGCAGGAGCUGGGGAGGGGGGGCUGGGCAUCAAGAGGAGGCCCAACCCUCCACCCCAAGGGGCCUGGAAGCGAGCGAACAUCUGUCUGUGUACAACAAUCAAGUUCUAUUUUUGUAAUUAAAAAUACAUUCAAAGGAAAAAGGAAACAAAAAGAACAAUCUUUGGUGUCCGUUGCUGCAGAAAGCUGAAGUUGGGGGUGGGGGUGCUGGAACCAGAAGGUGGGCUGUGCUCAUCUUGGACAGGUUUCCUGGGCUACUCUAGUACCCCGAAUCCUGCUUACACAGGAGUGGGACUCCACUUAUAGAAAGUGGUGAGCUCUAGGGUCCCCUGCCUGGCCCCUGCCAAGCAGUACGCCCGUUCAUCUCUUGUGACUCUCCAGAUCCCACGCAGCAAGCGUAUGACCCCAGCUGUUUGCUCUCCUCUGAGCCCCCGGAAAGACCACAGUCCCCAGUCCUCUGUGUCCAUUUUGGCCAGGAAUCGGUUCGCUUCCAGGUGUGGCUGUCCAGAAUAUCAGAGCAGUCCUUCUGCCCCCUCUGCUGGCCAGAUGGGGACCUGGGGACAGCUGCAAGGCUCCGGAGCAGCCCCUAGAGGGGCGGGCCAUCGAUGCCACGGCAGGCACACCCACGUUACCUGGGGCGUGGGGGUGGGGUGGAGUGAGGAGUAGACUUCAAGUGCAUCUCCAGCUGCUGAGGGUCAGGCCUUUUGGUCUCUGGGCUGGCAUCACAGGGCAGGCAUACAUUCCAGCGGCAUGGUCAGCUGGGGAGACAAGUUGCGGAGAAGUAAAACCUUGCUCCAGAGCCCAGGCAGUCAAGGCAUGGCACCCCCAGGCAGCCCAGUUCUCU